GAUUCCUUUAGUAUGGCGAAUGAAGAAGGAGUAGCUCAACAUGAAAAUCUGGGCAUCUGGCCUUGAAUUGUAGUUUGAAGAUGCAUUUGCCAAUGGACAUGAUAAUGAAAGCCUUUUGGGAAAAAGCAUCAACGAGGGUGAGAAUCCUUCUUGACAUUUCAAUUGUCCAUGUACGGUGUGCAUUGAAGAUUCACGUUCCUUGGGAUUUGAACGCAAACUUGUUGGUAAAUUUCAUUUAAAGCUAAAUAUUGGUUUGAGACCGAUAGAAAACAAGUACCAUGAGGGAAAAGUGAAAAGGACUUUGAAAAGAAAGUUAAAAGUGCUUGAAAUUGCUGAAGAGGAAGCGGGUGUAUUUCGCACGCAAUUCUCAAGAUUGUUGCGCAUAUCUCUGAUACCUUGUUGUCUUGAUUUAAUUGCAGCAAUAAGUUAUAUUUGUGAAUGCGCAAUGUUGCUUGUGUUUUGUGCCUUCAUCGAUUCACAGCCAUAGAAACAAUCUAAACAUGAAUCUUUGCUCUUGUGCAAAAGAACAUUUAGGUUCAGAUUUAGCUUGUGGAUCGCUCUUAAUAUUGUUGAUUGCUUAAUCGUCCUUGCGCCUUGCGUGCGGGAUGAUUUCACGACAUGAAAAUGAUGGCCAAAGAAAUACAUUCGACCCGUCUUGAAACACGGACCAAGGAGUUUAACACAUGUGCAAGUUUGGGGUGUGAUGCUUCUUUGCGUAAUGAAAAUGAUAUUUGGUAUAUUCUUGCACCAAUAACCAACCGCUCAAUUGUGAGAGGUUUGAGUACGAGCAUAUUUGUUAAGACCCGAAAGAUGGUGAACUAUGCCUGGG
rnacentral:rRNA from 1 species